rnacentral:rRNA from 1 species
GACGAACGCUGGCGGCGUGCUUAACACAUGCAAGUCGAACGGAAAGGCCCUGCUUUUGUGGGGUGCUCGAGUGGCGAACGGGUGAGUAACACGUGAGUAACCUGCCCUUGACUUUGGGAUAACUUCAGGAAACUGGGGCUAUUACCGGAUAGGAGCUCCUGCUCCAUGGGGGGGGUUGGAAGGUUUCGGCGGUUGGGGAUGGACUCGCGGCUUAUCAGCUUGUUGGUGGGGUAGUGGCUUACCAAGGCUUUGACGGGUAGCCGGCCUGAGAGGGUGACCGGCCACAUUGGGACUGAGAUACGGCCCAGACUCCUACGGGAGGCAGCAGUGGGGAAUAUUGCACAAUGGGCGGAAGCCUGAUGCAGCAACGCCGCGUGCGGGAUGACGGCCUUCGGGUUGUAAACCGCUUUCGCCUGUGACGAAGCGUGAGUGACGGUAAUGGGUAAAGAAGCACCGGCUAACUACGUG